UACGUAGGGUGCAAGCGUUAAUCGGAAUUACUGGGCGUAAAGCGUGCGCAGGCGGUGAUGUAAGACAGAUGUGAAAUCCCCGGGCUCAACCUGGGAACUGCAUUUGUGACUGCAUCGCUUGAGUGCGGCAGAGGGGGAUGGAAUUCCGCGUGUAGCAGUGAAAUGCGUAGAUAUGCGGAGGAACACCGAUGGCGAAGGCGAUCCCCUGGGCCUGCACUGACGCUCAUGCACGAAAGCGUGGGGAGCAAACAGG
rnacentral:rRNA from 1 species